AAUUGGAGGGCAAGUCUGGUGCCAGCAGCCGCGGUAAUUCCAGCUCCAAUAGCGUAUAUUAAAGUUGUUGCAGUUAAAAAGCUCGUAGUUGAAUUUCGGGAUCAAUAUUUCGGUCAUGCCGUUGGUAUGCACUGUUAUCAUUGAUUUCUCACCUUCUAAAGAACCGUAAUGCCAUUAAUUUGGUGUUACGGGGAAUUAGGACUGUUACCUUGAAAAAAUUAGAGUGUUUAAAGCAGGCUCACGCUUGAAUACAUUAGCAUGGAAUAAUGAAAUAGGACAUCCGAUUCUAUUUUGUUGGUUUCUAGGAUCGAUGUAAUGAUUAAUAGGGAUAGUUGGGGGCAUUAGUAUUCAAUUGUCAGAGGUGAAAUUCUUGGAUUUAUUGAAGACUAACUACUGCGAAAGCAUUUGCCAAGGAUGUUUUCAUUAAUCAAGAACGAAAGUUAGGGGAUCGAAGACGAUCAUAUACCGUCGUAGUCUUAACCAUAAACUAUGCCGACUAGGGAUCGGAUGAUGUUAAUUUUUUAAUGACUCAUUCGGCGCCUUACGGGAAACCAAAGUGU
rnacentral:rRNA from 1 species